rnacentral:tRNA from 1 species
GAGGUUGUGGCUCAUCGGUAGAGCACUCACCUUGUACGUGUGAGGCCCUGGGUUCAAUUCUCAGCACCACA